rnacentral:misc_RNA from 1 species
GAUGAAGAACGUAGCGAAAUGCGAUAAGUAGUGUGAAUUGCAGAAUUCAGUGAAUCAUCGAAUCUUUGAACGCACAUUGCGCCCUUUGGUAUUCCAAAGGGCAUGCCUGUUCGAGCGUCAUUUGUACCCUCAAGCUUUGCUUGGUGUUGGGCGUCUUGUCUCUAGCUUUGCUGGAGACUCGCCUUAAAGUAAUUGGCAGCCGGCCUACUGGUUUCGGAGCGCAGCACAAGUCGCACUCUCUAUCAGCAAAGGUCUAGCAUCCAUUAAGCCUUUUUUUCAACUUUUGACCUCGGAUCAGGUAGGGAUACCUGCUGAACUUAAGCAUAUCAAUAAGCGGAGGA